rnacentral:rRNA from 1 species
AUUGAACGCUGGCGGCAUGCCUUACACAUGCAAGUCGAACGGCAGCACGGGAGCAAUCCUGGUGGCGAGUGGCGAACGGGUGAGUAAUAUAUCGGAACGUGCCCAGUCGUGGGGGAUAACGUAGCGAAAGCUACGCUAAUACCGCAUACGAUCUAUGGAUGAAAGCGGGGGAUCGCAAGACCUCGCGCGAUUGGAGCGGCCGAUAUCAGAUUAGGUAGUUGGUGAGGUAAAGGCUCACCAAGCCGACGAUCUGUAGCUGGUCUGAGAGGACGACCAGCCACACUGGGACUGAGACACGGCCCAGACUCCUACGGGAGGCAGCAGUGGGGAAUAUUGGGACAAUGGGGGAAACCCUGAUCCAGCGAUGCCGCGUGAGUGAAGAAGGCCCUUCGGGUUGUAAAGGCUCUUUCAGAGGGGAUGGAU